rnacentral:lncRNA from 1 species
CUGGGUCAAGACCUCCAGUCCCUAUGGCUGGCUCUCCAAGUAAGUUUGUACCUCUCUCUCGCUUUGUUAAAAUAAAACCUCUUUAUUCUUAUAUUCCCCAAACCACCCCUAUAUACACCACCUCUGACACUCCUCCCUCAACCACCAGAACGUCUCACCCACCCUCACUAAAAUUUAACCUUGCUACCACCACACUACCCAUUUCAGAAGCAGAAAUGCUGAAUGAAAUCACUUCACCAUCAUCAUCACC